rnacentral:lncRNA from 1 species
UAUUAUCAUCUAUAGCCCCAUAGUGCUUUUUUGAUCUCCUCCACCUCAACCCUAUCAAUCAAUAUUUCUCUCUGAGCUACUAUUAAUAUCGACAUCUGUUGCACAGUUUGACUACUCAAAGAUGUUCUAGUAGGGCAUGUCCCUGACAAGUCAGUAUAAAAAUCAACAAUGGCCCCGCCGACCCUGCCGGGCCACUUUCACC